UCAGUUCGGAUUGUAGUCUGCAACUCGACUACAUGAAGCUGGAAUCGCUAGUAAUCGCGAAUCAGAAUGUCGCGGUGAAUACGUUCCCGGGUCUUGUACACACCGCCCGUCACACCAUGGGAGUUGGGAAUGCCCGAAGCCGGUGACCUAACCGAAAGGGAGGAGCCGUCGAAGGCAGGCUUGAUAACUGGGGUGAAGUCGUAACAAGGUAUC
rnacentral:rRNA from 1 species